rnacentral:lncRNA from 1 species
UUCUUUUCUUUUUUUUUCUUUUUUUCUUUUUAUUAUUUUUUUUAAGCAGGAUCAACCUCGGAUUCCUCUCUGACAAUAAACCCCAACAGCUUACCGGAUCGCACUCUGAUAGUGCACUCACUUGAAUUCAACCUCAGUUUGAAUUGUCUCAACCGGUCAAACGACUUGCCCCGGUCUGCCAGAUGCCCCUCUCCUGUUCGGGACUUUGCUAUCAUGUCAUAGCAUAGCAUUCAUUUUCAUGAUGAAUCACAUCAUGGAACAAAGUCACCAUGGCUCUCUGAUACAGGCACUGGCGUUCUGCUUCUUUAGAGGACA